rnacentral:rRNA from 1 species
UGAACGCUGGCGGCGUGCUUAACACAUGCAAGUCGUACGAGAAAUCUUCAGCUUGCUGAAGAGAGUAAAGUGGCGCACGGGUGAGUAACGCGUGGAUAAUCUAUCCUUGAAUCGGGGAUAACGUUGCGAAAGCGACGCUAAUACCGGAUGACAUCAUAAAGGCUUUGGCCUUAAUGAUCAAAGAUGACCUCUACCUGUAAGUUGUUGUUUGAGGAGGAGUCCGCGUACCAUUAGCUUGUUGGUAGGGUAACGGCCUACCAAGGCCACGAUGGUUAGCUGGUCUGAGAGGAUGAUCAGCCACACUGGAACUGACACACGGUCCAGACUCCUACGGGAGGCAGCAGUGAGGAAUUUUGCGCAAUGGGGGAAACCCUGACGCAGCAACGCCGCGUGAGUGAUGAAGGCUUUAGGGUCGUAAAGCUCUGUCAAGUGGGAAGAACCUAUCCGGAAUUAAUACGUUCGGGUACUGACGGUACCACUGAAGGAAGCACCGGCUAACUCC